GUCGAAUCCUGAAGGCUGGAGGCAAGAUCC
rnacentral:piRNA from 1 species